rnacentral:tRNA from 1 species
GGCCGGGUGGCAGAGUGGUUAUGCAGCGGAUUGCAAAUCCGUGUACGUCGGUUCGAUUCCGGUCUCGGCCUCCA